UUCACGCUGACACUAGAUCAGACUGACCCAGAGCACUAACAGAUGGGACAUACCAAGUCUGAAACCAGGACUGCACUUUCCAAACUAACUGGGACACAGGAGUGAUUUCUUUCCGCAGAGGUGAUUUUAUAUAUGGCAAAUGAACAGUUCUGUAAAGAAAGCACGAAGAAGCACGGCUGUCACACACUUGCAGGCACCUUGGAGUCCAGGCCUUGAACUCAGAAGGAGGACCGCCUGGCUCUCUGAGGAGCAAAACCAGCACAGAAAAUGGCUCAAGACCCUACCAACUCCCAGUGCCUGAAAGCUGAUGGAAAUGGGUGUGAGAGGGUGUGAUGUUGGCCUGCAAGGUCUGAAGCGGUUUCCUGGGUCCCGCUCCCACCCAGUGGCCUUUCCUCCUCUUCCCACAGGCUCAAGGACACGACCACUGGCUUCCCUCCGUGCUGCUGCCUCCACACACUGCUCUGCGGGGAACCCCGCCUUCUCUUCCUCCAGCCAAGGGGGACGCAAGCUCUUCAAUCCCUCCUUCCUUGCUGCUCCAAAAGACAGACAAGCGCCUUUUACCGUUAAAGGGCUUUACUACCAAUCAUUACAGAGAGCACAAGGUGUAAAACCUGGGGGGACGUUCGAGCUUCCACAGAAUCGCUACAACUGUGGUCCCUCAUGCUACAGUAUCUGUUCUCCACCAGCCAGCAAAUGGUUUAACAAAGCUCAUCCUUAUUCCAGAAUUCAGGAGCCAGUAACAUUUAAAAAGGAAGGAAGAAAGAAAGAGAGGGGAAAAAGGAAAGAAAAGGCACACAAGGUUAAAAACUUUUUUGUUUUUUCCUGGUAAAGGACAAUAAAAAGCAGCAAAAAUCUCACCAUGUGCCAGGACCACAAAUGAAAUAAGUUUUAUUAAUGCACCAAAAAGUCCAUCCUUCAAACUGUAAUAAAUUAAUCUUUAUAAAAAACAUAAAGGAUAUUGCCAUAUUGUUCUCUUUUUCUUAUUUUGCAAUAGAGAAGUGAAACAGGACAUCGAGGAUCUGGCGCUUGGGAGCAGUGAUUUAACCGGGUCCCACAUUCAGUCACAGUUAAAAGAUAAAACAUCCUCUCUGCCUCGAGGACACAGUUUUUACAAAAUAUCCAGCCCCCAGCAAUGAGCCCUUCCGAGAUACAUGGAACCAGUGGCACCCAGAGCCCAGCUGGAGCUUUACCCUGACAUCCUGGGAGGCUGGCAACUCCCGGUCAGCAACUGAUUAGAUACUGAAGGAGGAUCAGUUUGUUCUCAAAACCCUUUUGCAGUCGGAUGAAAAGAAGUAAGUAUUACUUCAAUACCAUCAAGAAAUGACAAUGUGGGUUCAAUCGCUGACUUAAAAACCUUUUUUAUGUACUUUCAACUGUUCUAAACACCCCAAAUGUAUCUAGACUUACUUGGCCUUAAUAAAGAACAGCUGGGCAACA